GCACUGCUUUCCAUAUUGCAUUAUGCACAUCUUGUGCUUCGUGUGCUGGCGCAGGGGCCCACUUGUGGAUUAUCAUGUUUAAACAAUUUCAACUAUUACUAACCCUCAUCAAAGGGGAAAAAAACCUUCGAUUUCCUUUGCCUUUAAGUAAACAAAAAGGCAAUGAUGAGCGUAUUCGAGGGGUGAAUCCCAUCAAUGAAGCAGAAGAAAAGGGUCCAAUCAGGC
rnacentral:misc_RNA from 1 species